CACAAGCGGUGGAGCAUGCGGAUUAAUUCGAUGCAACGCGAAGAACCUUACCAAGGCUUGACAUAUACCGGAAACUUCCAGAGAUGGUUGCCCCUUUGGGUCGGUAUACAGGUGGUGCAUGGUUGUCGUCAGCUCGUGUCGUGAGAUGUUGGGUUAAGUCCCGCAACGAGCGCAACCCUCGUUCUAUGUUGCCAGCACGUAAUGUGGGGACUCAUGGAAGACUGCCGGGGUCAACUCGGAGGAAGGUGGGGAUGACGUCAAAUCAUCAUGCCCCUUAUGUCUUGGGCUUCACGCAUGCUACAAUGGCCGGUACAAAGGGCUGCGAUACCGCAAGGUGGAGCGAAUCCCAAAAAACCGGUCUCAGUUCGGAUUGGGGUCUGCAACUCGACCCCAUGAAGUCGGAGUCGCUAGUAAUCGCAGAUCAGCAACGCUCGCGGUUCCGAAUACGUUCCGGCCUU
rnacentral:rRNA from 1 species